ACCAUGAUUUUAUGAAUAGAUGCAAGGUCCAUUUUCGAGCAAGCCUCUCCUAAAGGCGAAAGAGGAGUUGGCGAAAGGUGAGUUGGCGAAAGGUGAGUUGGCGAAUGAUGAGUUGGAGAAAGAUGAGUUGAUGAAAGAUGACUUGGUGACUGAUGAGUUGAUGAAAAAUGAGUUGGAGAAAGAUGGGUUGACGAAAGAUGACUUGGUGACUGCUGAGUUGGCGAAUGAUGAGUUGACGA
rnacentral:lncRNA from 1 species